UAAAAUUCUUUAAUAACAUCGUCAAGUUCUGUCGUUUCAGCCAUGGCUGGCUCGGUUCGGUCUUUCUUCUUCACUAUUUCGUUUGUCUUACCUGUCAGCUCACAACCGCCUCUGCCACGUUAGUAAAAGUACAGUGUAUGCUGGAGACUACAACAUUGAUCCAUAUUUGAUUUGCUGUUUUUGAAUCACAGAAAAAAAAGAAAGAAAAGAAAAAAAGAAGAAAAAAAAACAAACAAAAAAGCAGUGAGAUGAUAACCAUUUAUCCAUAAUAGUUGACUCUUGUAAACAUUGCCAUGAAUAAAUUCCGCUAUCGCAUAUAUAACCAUA